rnacentral:lncRNA from 1 species
UUUUUGAUACCUGGCCAUUGAGAUAUGAAUUUUGGAACUUAGGUGUGACAAUUUGUGUCACACCUCUUGAUGUCAAUUUGCUGGAUUUAUUUGAGUGACCUAUACUUGGUGAAAUAAUAUGAAAUUUUGCAUGAUGGUUGAUUGGUAUGUUAAGAUGCUUUGUGAAUUUUUGUGGAAUUUUACAUUGCAUUUUCAAAUUGAUUGUGAUUUUUCAUUUCUGUUGGUCAAAUAUGCAAGUCCAUGUGGUACAUGUUUGUAAUUUUG